UACGUAGGGGGCAAGCGUUGUCCGGAAUCAUUGGGCGUAAAGAGCGUGUAGGCGGCUCGGUAAGUCCGCUGUAAAAGUCCAGGGCUCAACCCUGGAAAGCCGGUGGAAACUGUCGAGCUAGAGUCCGGAAGAGGCGAGUGGAAUUCCUGGUGUAGCGGUGAAAUGCGUAGAUAUCAGGAGGAACACCGGUGGUGUAAACGGCUUUCUGGACCAUAACUGACGCAGAUGCACGAAAGCGUGGGUAGCAAACAGG
rnacentral:rRNA from 1 species